rnacentral:lncRNA from 13 species
AAUUCCACCAGCGCUGCCGGGCCCUGGGCAUUCACCUCUCGGUACACCGGGGCUCCGGGACACGACUCCACGAGCCAACGGGAGCGGGCUGGGAUUUCCCCGGCUCCUUUCCACGAGCCGCGCCAGGCUGCAGGGCAGCCAGGGCCCGGGGCGGCACUGGGGGGCCGGAGCACGGCCGGCGACCAGCCCGGAGCCACCGUCCGGCUCCGGCCACCCCAAACCCUCGGGUUCCACAGCCUGGCUCCGGCCACCCCACACCCCAACGUUCGGGGUCCACAGCCCGGUUCCGGCCACCCCAAACCCUCGGGAGCCACAGCCCGGCUCCGGCCACCCCAACCCCCAACGUUCGGGGUCCACAGCCCGGCUCCGGCCGCCCCAAACCUCAACCCAAACCUCCGGGAACCCCAGCUCGACUCUGGCCAUUCCAAACCCGAACCCUCGGGAGCCAGGCCCAGCUCCGGCCCCCCAGGCAUCACCCGUCCUCUACGCAGGGAUGCUCGGCCCGCGGGAAGGGGAAAACCCCGGCGGGACCAAGCCGCCCGAGGGAGAAGGGACAGGCCGGCUGGGCGGCCCUCCAGCACCCCCCGUCCCGUACGGGUCUCCCCGUACGCACCGGGCAGCAGGAGCGGCGAGGAGAGCGCGGUGUGCGGGGCUCGGGCAAUGAGCACUCCGCAGCGGAAGGGGCGGGCCGGGCGGCGGGGUCGGGGGGAGGCGGCGGCCGCGCUCAAUCGCCGCCAAGGACGGAGUCUCAAGGAUGUCGCCGCUCCGCCCCGGCUCUGCAGUGGCGCAGGGCCCGCGCUGCGGGCCCGUUACCGGCGCUGUGUCCGCGCGGGGCGCGCCGCCCGGAGCGGUUGCGCUGCCGGGGCCGGGGGUGGCCGGGCGACACUGGACACUGGUCACUGGUGGCUUCGGCAGCAUCACCACCGCUCACUUCCACAGGAGACAGCGGGGCUCUUGGUGCCUAAGCGCCACAGAGCCACAGGCUCGGCCAGAAUCGCAACCCACGGAACACACAGACUGAAAAUCUGGGUGUACAAGUGGCCACUGCUGCUGAGCACAGAAGGAAGUGAUUUCUUGGAAUUCCUCCAGGACCAAGGUAUUUUGCCAGGUAUUUUGCCUGGUUUAGUAAUAACUGGAUUCAUUCCCUGUGGCUCACCAAGUAGCCAAACAAAGGAU